rnacentral:miRNA from 1 species
UUAAGUAGUUGCGCCGAAGGUGA